CGCAGCCGCGGUAAUUCCAGCUCCAAUAGCGUAUAUUAAAGUUGUUGCAGUUAAAAAGCUCGUAGUUGAAUUUCGGGAUCAAUACGUCGGUCGUGCUUCGGUACGUACUGGCGUCAUUGGUUUCUCCCUUCUGACGAACCAUGAUGUCAUUAACUUGGUGUCAUGGGAAAUCAGGACUGUUACUUUGAAAAAAUUAGAGUGUUUAAAGCAGGCUCACGCUUGAAUACAUUAGCAUGGAAUAAUGAAAUAGGACGUUCGAUCCUAUUUUGUUGGUUUCUAGGAUCAACGUAAUGAUUAAUAGGGAUAGUUGGGGGCAUUAGUAUUCAAUUGUCAGAGGUGAAAUUCUUGGAUUUAUUGAAGACUAACUACUGCGAAAGCAUUUGCCAAGGAUGUUUUCAUUAAUCAAGAACGAAAGUUAGGGGAUCGAAGACGAUCAGAUACCGUCGUAGUCUUAACCAUAAACUAUGCCGACUAGGGAUCGGAUGAUGUUAAUUUUUAAUGACUCAUUCGGCGCCUUAAC
rnacentral:rRNA from 1 species